CACUCCAGUGAUAUAACCGAGGUGGACAGAGAAAUUGGAAAAAGAGCAAACAGUAGGUGGCGCUAUACAGAUUUCAUUGAAUAGCUCAGAGGCUAUACUAAAAUUUUAAUUACAUGCAAUUACAGAAGUAUUCAGAUCCAGGUGCUGGUUUAAAAACUGUAAAAUAUCUUUCAUGGGACAACCCCUUUAAAAAUGAUAUUACAAGCACUUAUUUGCACUUUUGGUGGAGAGAGUGCACAGAUUAGGCUUUCCAAAGUUACACGAUUAAU